rnacentral:rRNA from 1 species
GAUGAACGCUGGCGGCGUGCUUAACACAUGCAAGUCGAACGGUGAAGCUCCAGCUUGCUGGAGUGGAUCAGUGGCGAACGGGUGAGUAACACGUGAGCAACCUGCCCCUGACUCUGGGAUAACAGCCGGAAACGGCUGCUAAUACCGGAUAUGCACCAUGAACGCAUGUUCUGUGGUGGGAAAGAUUUUUCGGUUGGGGAUGGGCUCGCGGCCUAUCAGCUUGUUGGUGAGGUAAUGGCUCACCAAGGCGUCGACGGGUAGCCGGCCUGAGAGGGUGACCGGCCACACUGGGACUGAGACACGGCCCAGACUCGUACGGGAGGCAGCAGUGGGGAAUAUUGCACAAUGGGCGAAAGCCUGAUGCAGCAACGCCGCGUGAGGGAUGACGGCCUUCGGGUUGUAAACCUCUUUUAGCAGGGAAGAAGCGAGAGUGACGGUACCUGCAGAAAAAGCGCCGGCUAACUACGUG